rnacentral:tRNA from 1 species
AUCUUAGUAGCUUAUAAUAUUAGAGCAUAGCACUGAAGAUGCUAAAGAGGCAAAUUUAUGCCCUAAGAUA